rnacentral:rRNA from 1 species
GACGAACGCUGGCGGCGUGCUUAACACAUGCAAGUCGAACGGUGAAGCGCCUUCCUUUUUGGUGGGUGUGGUUGCGUGGCGAACGGGUGAGUAACACGUGAGUAACCUGCCCCCUUCUUCUGCUUAACCGCAUUAAAGUGUGGCUAAUACGGGAUAUUCUGGGUCUUUCGCAUGAUGGGUCUGGGUCAGAUAUUGUUUCGGGGGGGGAUGGGCUUGCGGCCUAUCAGCGUGUUGGUGGGGUGAUGGCCUACCAAGGCGGUGACGGGUAGCCGGCCUGAGAGGGUGCACGGUCCUACGGGGACGGCGACACGGCCGAGACUCCUGCGGCAGCCAGCAGUGGGAAAUGUGGCACAAUGGGCGAAUACCGGACGCAGCGACGUCGCGUGAGGGAUGGAGGCCUUGGGGUUGAUGACCUCUUUCGCCAGGGAAGCAGGCCUGCCUGGUUUGUGGGUGGGUUGAAGGUAGCUGGAUAAGAAGCGCCGGCUAACUACGU